GAUGAGAUACCUGACCCCGCGAGGGGAUAAGAUGUCCGGAAGACGACCGGAUAGAUAGGCCGGGGGUGUAAGCGUUGAGAGGCGUUGAGCUGACCGGUACUAAUACGUCGAGACUUUUUCCUCC
rnacentral:rRNA from 1 species